rnacentral:rRNA from 1 species
UUUGAUGGCGACCGGCGCACGGGUGAGUAACACGUAUCCAACCUGCCGAUGACUCGGGGAUAGCCUUUCGAAAGAAAGAUUAAUACCCGAUGGCAUAGUUCUUCCGCAUGGUAGAACUAUUAAAGAAUUUCGGUCAUCGAUGGGGAUGCGUUCCAUUAGGUUGUUGGCGGGGUAACGGCCCACCAAGCCUUCGAUGGAUAGGGGUUCUGAGAGGAAGGUCCCCCGCAUUGGAACUGAGACACGGUCCAA